rnacentral:misc_RNA from 1 species
AACGCAAAUUGCGCCUUCCUUCGGAAGGCAUGUCUGUUUGAGGGCACCAUUUAACAAAUAAUGUGCGCGUCGUUUUUACGAGCGACGUGCGCACGUUGAUGAGCUUUUCCGAAAAAACCAGGUUUUUUUGGUGGCGCAUAAUGAACAGCGUGGGCUUUUUCUUCGAUUCUCGUGUAGUAAAUUUUCAAACAACGCUUGGGUUGAGAAAAAGUGCGUGCCGCGCAAUGGGUGUGGCGAAUUUUACCCCUGCCACAAUGCCACUCUUUCCCUGCGAAAGAACAAUUUUUAUUCAGGGCCUCAAAUCAGACAAGAGUACCCGCUGAACUUAA